GUCACACCUGUUCCCAUACCGAACACAGAAGUUAAGCUCUUCAGCGCCCAUGGUAGUUGGGGUUUUACCCCUGCGAGAGUAGGACGUCGCCAGGC
rnacentral:rRNA from 1 species